UACGGAAGGCAGCAGUGGGGAAUAUUGGACAAUGGGCGCAAGCCUGAUCCAGCCAUGCCGCGUGAGUGAUGACGGCCCUAGGGUUGUAAAGCUCUUUUACCCGGGAAGAUAAUGACGGUACCGGGAGAAUAAGCCCCGGCUAACUUCGUGCCAGCAGCCGCGGUAAUACGAAGGGGCUAGCGUUGUUCGGAUUUACUGGGCGUAAAGCGCACGUAGGCGGACGCUUAAGUCAGGGGUGAAAUCCCGAGGCUCAACCUCGGAACUGCCUUUUGAUACUGGGUGUCUUGAGUCCGGAAGAGGUGAGUGGAACUGCGAGUGUAGAGGUGAAAUUCGUAGAUAUUCGCAAGAACACCAGUGGCGAAGGCGGCUCACUGGUCCGGAACUGACGCUGAGGUGCGAAAGCGUGGGGAGCGAAACAGGGAUUAGAU
rnacentral:rRNA from 1 species